GACGGGGAGCACCACAACGGUGGAGCUUGUCGGUUUAAUUGGAUUCAACGCCGGAAUCUACCGGACCGACAGCAAUAUGAAGGCCAGGCUGAAGACUUUGCCGGAUUAGCUGAGAGGUGGUGCAUGGCCGUCGUCAGUUCGUACUGUGAAGCAUCCUGUUAAGUCAGGCAACGAGCGAGACCCACGCCCACAGUUGCCAGCGUACUCUCCGGAGUGACGGGUACACUGUGGGACCGCCGCUGCUAAAGCGGAGGAAGGAAUGGGCAACGGUAGGUCAGUAUGCCCCGAAUAUCCCGGGCUACACGCGAGCUACAAUGGUUGGUACAAUGGGUAUCUACCCGAAAGGGGACGGGAAUCUCCUAAAACCAAUCUUAGUUCGGAUUGAGGGCUGCAACUCGCCCUCAUGAAGCUGGAAUCCGUAGUAAUCGCGUUUCAACAGAACGCGGUGAAUACGUCCCUGCUCCUU
rnacentral:rRNA from 1 species